GUGAUUAGCUCAGCUGGGAGAGCAUCUGCCUUACAAGCAGAGGGUCGGCGGUUCGAUCCCGUCAUCACCCACCA
rnacentral:tRNA from 4 species